UGUCACUGGCACCAAAUUUGAAGACCAAAUGCAAGACACAUUUCUUGUAAAUGUGAAUGUUACUGAGGAGGGAACAGAUGUAAUGGUGUCAAAAUCUGCAAUGGUGUCCUUUACAAACAAAGCUGUAUAUCUCUUGGAGGGGAGCAACUGGCCCAACAAACUGCUGUUGAAUCUAACCACAAACAAGAAUGGAUGGGCUGCGUUCUCCCUAAACACUGCUAAUCUUAAGGCUGAUCUGAAUCUGGUGGCGAGUGCUAAUCCAGAGGUUUUUUUAUGGUUCUAAAUCACCA